rnacentral:tRNA from 1 species
GGCGAGAUGGCCGAGUGGUCUAAGGCGCUGGUUUUAGGCACCAGUCUCCUCGGAGGCGUGGGUUCGAAUCCCACUCUCGUCA